CAAAAAUUCACUCAGUAAAAAUCUUAUAAAAAUGCUAUCAAAAGCUGUGGAUGCUUUGAAAUCUGAUAAGAAAGUACGGACCAUAAUAAUCAGGAGUGAAGUCCCAGGGAUAUUCUGUGCUGUUGACCCUUGAGCAACAUGAGAGGUUAGGAGAGAUGACACCUCCACCUGCACCCCUGCCCCCACCCCUCACAGUUGAAAAUCCUCCUAUAACUUGACUUCUCAAAAACUGAACUACUAAUAGUCUACUGUUGACUGGAGGCCUCACUGGUAACAUAAAGGGUUGAGUAACAAACAUUUUGUAUGUUAUAUGUAUUAUAUGCUUUAUUCUUACAGUAAAGUAAGCUAAAGAAAAGAAAAUGUUACUAAGAAAACCAUAAGGAAGAGAAAAUACAUUUACUAUCAAGUGGAAGUGGGUCAUCACACAGGUUAUCCUUGUCAUCUUCAUGUUGAGUAGGUUAAGGAGAAAGAGGAGGGGUUGUCUUGCUGUCUCAAAGGGGUGGCAGAGGUGGAAGAAAAUCUGUGUACAAAUAGACCUGAUGUUGUUCAAAGGUCAGCUGCACUUAAAUUUUAAUGUUUUCAUUUGAGCACGUCAGAGAUGCCGUUAAAAAUGACUCAGAGUACUCGUGCCCUUUCUGUGU
rnacentral:lncRNA from 1 species